rnacentral:rRNA from 1 species
GACGAACGCUGGCGGCAGGCCUAACACAUGCAAGUCGAGCGGAGCGGCGAACGGGUGAGUAACGCGUGAGUAACUGCCCCCCUCUCUGGGAUAACAGUUGGAAACGGCUGCUAAUACCGGAUAGUGGGGGAUGACUCGCGUCCUAUCAGCUGGUUGGCGGGGUAGUGGCCUACCAAGGCGACGACGGGUAGCCGGCCUGAGAGGGCGACCGGCCACAUUGGGAUGAGAGACGGCCAGAACGCAUACGGGAGGCAGCAGUGGGGAAUAUUGCACAAUUGGGGAAACCCUGAGGCAGCAACGCCGCGUGCGGGAUGACGGUCUUCGGGUUGUAAACCGCUUUCAGCCAUGACGCGGUAGUGGCAGAAGAAGCACCGGCUAACUACGGGCCAGCCGCCGCGGUAAUUC